AGCAUUGAAACAAUUGAAAAGUACCUCAACCCGGACAACAUAAUUAGCUCUCAAGAUUGUUUUAUCUGAAAAGUAUUUAAUUCGAAGAAGCGGUGACCCUUCAACGACUACUAUCUACCGACAACUGAGUUGAAAAGAUCCGCCGUUAUACACCGCAAGGAGAAAAGCAGAACCAAAUGUUACCCUAACCAGCUAUUUCGACAUAAUGGCAAAACCUUUCCAUCCAUGAAAAGUUGCAGUUCCUCUGUGGGUGACUAAUUUUUACUUAUUCGUCUGUAAGCUGAGCGUGGAUCAUAGGGACAGAUUCGUCCCAUUGUGCUUCAAACCAGUUUCCAGCAACCGGCUUGGCCAGAUUGUACUUCUCAGAAAACUUUUUGGCGCAAAAGUGCGCCCUACGUUUUCCUGAUCUAAAUUUAAAACGUCAGCGAGCGGACAUUCACGUAAGGUAUAGGAUACAGAGAUACCUUUUGGUCAACUUAGAUUCGUCGCAGAUGAGAGUGCCAGGCUGCUUGUAGGCCAAGAACACAUAUCGAUGCAAACCUGCAAUUAUCACCACGAGGAGCAGAUCCAACAUACUGGGACAAAACCUUAAAACAAUAAAACUUUUUGGUCUCAUAAGUACAUUAUGCAGAAAAAAUGUAUGCUGAUUACAUCUCCUCUCUUGAAGUCGUCGCCAGGAAUGUUUACUACAAGCCAAUGUUGCCACUCUCGGGCUGUUGGCUUUGUCCUCGUUGGGGCAUCAGGAUCUGUCAAAGUUAAACAUUUCUGAUACAAAGAUUUGCCAUUUCACACGGACAGGUUCAUUCUGAACUUCAGUAGGUGUCAAUUCGUUUCCCUCUUUUACGAUGGCACCACUAUCAUACUCGACCUAAACUUCCGGCUGGUGCAACAUCGACGACAUCCGGGACAAUUGCGUGUCCUUUCAUUGCUCCUUUGUUGAAUUCCUCUGGAUGAUGAGAAUACAAAGAAGGGAACUAAAAAUAUGGACAGACAAGAACGGAUAAUUUCCCGGGUCUGUGCCGGUGAUCUCUUACUUCUGCGGUUGGAGAACGACUAUGACUAUUCAAGCGACAAUGAGGCUAUACGAACGAAUAACGUCGACGUUCGAACUGCAACGACUUAAAUUGGCGUAAGUGUAGUGGAUUCUGCCGUUAACAAUGUGUUCCAGUUUCCCCGUAUGUCAUCAAGUAAGUGUAAAAACCGUUUCGGGGACGAUUUGUAACUGAAAUAUUGGGGCGUUAUCCGCAUCUUCCCUGCAUUUUGGGAUAAAGCCCUCUAAUAAUCUAUAGAGAAAAACGGCCAAGAGUUUAUCUCUUAAGCAAUGGAUUAUAUUUGUUUGACCGGUUAAACAGUAAUAACUUUAGCUAACAAUAUCCCGCUAAAACUUUGAAAACUUAAGGUUUUUGCAG